rnacentral:rRNA from 1 species
UACGAAGGACCCAAGCGUUAUCCGGAUUUAUUGGGUUUAAAGGGUGCGUAGGCGGAUUAUUAAGUCAGUGGUGAAAGCCUUCAGCUUAACUGAAGAACUGCCAUUGAUACUGAUGAUCUUGAGUAUGAUUGAGGUGGGCGGAAUGUGUCAUGUAGCGGUGAAAUGCUUAGAUAUGACACAGAACACCGAUUGCGAAGGCAGCUCGCUAAACUGACAUUGACGCUGAGGCACGAAAGCGUGGGGAUCAAACAGG